rnacentral:lncRNA from 1 species
CCAAUGGGUUUAUUCUUACACACGGCACCAUACAGAGCAGCACAGGUCACUGAGCCAGGCCCGCCCCUCACAAAGAGCAAGGACAUGAAAUACGGAGGGCGCAAUGAGUGCGCAGCCCAGGGUCUGGAGUUUGUUAAGUGAAGGGAGGGGCGAGGAGAGGUGGCCCAGUGGGGCUGAGGGCUGGCCAGGAGCAUAGGGCACGACAACCAGGGAUAGCAAAGUCCAGAAGUGAGCGGGCAGGUGCUCGUUUGUGGCACAGACACCACAUGGCACCGAGCGCGUCGGUGUGGCCCAAGGGGCACAGUGGAUGGAGAGAGAGAGGAGAGAGGCCAGAAGAGGGCCUGCACCCUGCCAAGCUCCUGGGGCAGAGUCCACCCAAAUGCGGAUCCUAGGAAAUGGGGAGGGGCCAAAAAGAGGGGGCAAGGCAAGCGCGGUGGCGGCGGCUUCCGGAGCAGGAGCAGGUACAGCAGAAGUCCAUGCAGGAAGGAGCAGAGGAGGGGAGGGGCAGGAAAGCUCCCCCCAGGAGCAGCUGGGCCAGCGGGCUUGAGUGCCCCCGCCCCUCUGGGCCUCGUCGCUUUGGCCGGCCGGCGUGGGCCGAGCUCCCUUCUUCUCCAUUCAGCGAGCCUGGCGCAGCAUCCAGCCGGGCCUGGUCCCCCGGCAGCCCCCAGCGCGGGCUCCGGCGUUCCUAGCCUUCCCUGGGGGUAGGGUUAGUUACAAAGGUUCCUGUGGGUCUCUGGAGCGGGGAGCUCGGCGGCCGCUUCUCAUCUGAGAGCAGUCCCAGGGCCCGGCCCGCCUCCGGCCCCGCACAGGGGGAAUGUCCAGAGGUGCUGUGUAUCACCACCUGGUCUUCUAAUUUGGAAGGAGUUGGAAAGGCCUUUUUGUUGAUGAAAAGUUGGAAACAGUGGCACAUAUCUGCAAAUAUCGAAAGAAUAAAGAUUUUGGCAAGUUAUACUUCAGCCCCGCAAAAGUCGGUCAGCACUGGUGAGGGCAGAGACCCAGGCGCCUGGGGAGAGGCGGCAGCGGGAUGAAGAGGAGGAUGUGAGGAGGAGGAGGAGAGGAGAAGGAGAGGAGGAGGAGGCCGCCAACUGCUGGGCAUUUGUGGCCCAGCAGUCCAUGUCAGCAGGGAAUGUUCACCACUCUGCUGCCCGGGCCCCAUCCCUCCUGUAUUCCCAGGCUGUCAGAGGCCGAGGGCACAGGGUCGGUCAGGACAAAGGAUUGCAACUGCGAUGUGGGAGGAAGCCCAGCAGGGGGCACAAAGAACCCGGCCAAAAUCUUUAGAAAAGAUUACACUGGUGCCCAGCAGCUCCACAGACAGCACCUGCCCGAAUCCAUACCCUCCAGGGCUAAAGCCCUCUGCCCCU